UACAGAGGGUGCGAGCGUUAAUCGGAAUUACUGGCGUAAGCGCGCGUAGGCGGUUUGCAAGUCGGGUGUGAAAUCCCCCAGGCUUACCUGGGAACUGCAUUCGAGACUGCAUUACUAGAGUAUGGGAGAGGGAAGUGGAAUUUCCGGUGUAGCGGUGAAAUGCGUAGAUAUCGGAAGGAACAUCAGUGGCGAAAGCGACUUCCUGGACCAAUACUGACGCUCAUGUGCGAAAGCGUGGGGAGCAAACAGG
rnacentral:rRNA from 1 species